rnacentral:rRNA from 1 species
AUGGACGCAAGUCUGAUGGAGCAACGCCGCGUGAGUGAAGAAGGGUUUCGGCUCGUAAAGCUCUGUUGGUAGUGAAGAAAGAUAGAGGUAGUAACUGGCCUUUAUUUGACGGUAAUUACUUAGAAAGUCACGGCUAACUACGUGCCAGCAGCCGCGGUAAUACGUAGGUGGCAAGCGUUGUCCGGAUUUAUUGGGCGUAAAGCGAGGGCAGGCGGUUCAAUAAGUCUGAUGUGAAAGCCUUCGGCUCAACCGGAGAAUUGCAUCAGAAACUGUUGAACUUGAGUGCAGAAGAGGAGAGUGGAACUCCAUGUGUAGCGGUGGAAUGCGUAGAUAUAUGGAAGAACACCAGUGGCGAAGGCGGCUCUCUGGUCUGCAACUGACGCUGAGGCUCGAAAGCAUGGGUAGCGAACAGGAUUAGAUACCCUGGUAGUCCAUGCCGUAAACGGUGAGUGCUAAGUGUUGGGAGGUUUCCGCCUCUCUGUGCUGCAGCUAACGCAUUAAGCACUCCGCCUGGGGAGUACGACCGCAAGGUUGAAACUCAAAGGAAUUGACGGGGGCCCGCACAGGCGGUGGAGCAUGUGGUUUAAUUCGAAGCAACGCGAAGAACCUUACCAGGUCUUGACAUUCAGUGCAAACCU